UACGUAGGGGGCAAGCGUUGUCCGGAUUUAUUGGGCGUAAAGAGCGUGUAGGCGGUUUGGUAGGUCCGUUGUGAAAACUCGAGGCUCAACCUCGAGACGCCGAUGGAAACCAUCAGACUAGAGUCCGGAAGGAGGAGACUGGAAUUCCUGGUGUAGCGGUGAAAUGCGCAGAUAUCAGGAGGAACACCGGUGGCGAAGGCGG
rnacentral:rRNA from 1 species